UACGGAGGGGGGCUAGCGUUGUUCGGAAUUACUGGGCGUAAAAGCGCACGUAGGCGGCUUUGUAAGUUAGAGGUGAAAGCCCAGGGCUUAACCCUGGAAUUGCCUUUAAGACUGCAUCGCUAGAAUCGUGGAGAGGUGAGUGGAAUUCCGAGUGUAGAGGUGAAAUUCGUAGAUAUUCGGAAGAACACCAGUGGCGAAGGCGACUCACUGGACACGUAUUGACGCUGAGGUGCGAAAGCGUGGGGAGCAAACAGG
rnacentral:rRNA from 1 species